AGCGAACGCUGGCGGCAGGCCUAACACAUGCAAGUCGAACGAACCCUUCGGGGUUAGUGGCGGACGGGUGAGUAACACGUGGGAACGUGCCUUUAGGUUCGGAAUAACUCAGGGAAACUUGUGCUAAUACCGAAUGUGCCCUUCGGGGGAAAGAUUUAUCGCCUUUAGAGCGGCCCGCGUCUGAUUAGCUAGUUGGUGAGGUAAUGGCUCACCAAGGCUACGAUCAGUAGCUGGUCUGAGAGGAUGACCAGCCACAUUGGGACUGAGACACGGCCCAAACUCCUACGGGAGGCAGCAGUGGGGAAUCUUGCGCAAUGGGCGAAAGCCGGACGCAGCCAUGCCGCGUGGAUGAUGAAGGUCUUAGGAUUGUAAAAUCCUUACACCGGUGAAGAUAAUGACUGUAGCCGGAGAAGAAGCCCCGGCUAACUUCGUGCCAGCCGCCGCCGUAAAAC
rnacentral:rRNA from 1 species